GACGAACGCUGGCGGCGUGCUUAACACAUGCAAGUCGAACGAUGAAGCCAGCUUGCUGGUGGAUUAGUGGCGAACGGGUGAGUAACACGUGGGUGAUCUGCCCCAAACUUUGGGAUAAGCCUGGGAAACUGGGUCUAAUACCGAAUAUGACCGAUACUCGCAUGGGUGUUGGUGGAAAGCUCCGGCGGUUUGGGAUGGGCCCGCGGCCUAUCAGCUUGUUGGUGGGGUAAUGGCCUACCAAGGCGACGACGGGUAGCCGGCCUGAGAGGGCGACCGGCUACACUGGGACUGAGACACGGCCCAGACUCCUACGGGAGGCAGCAGUGGGGAAUAUUGCACAAUGGGCGCAAGCCUGAUGCAGCGACGCCGCGUGAGGGAUGACGGCCUUCGGGUUGUAAACCUCUUUCACCAGGGACGAAGCGAAAGUGACGGUACCUGGAGAAGAAGCACCGGCCAACUACGUG
rnacentral:rRNA from 1 species